rnacentral:rRNA from 1 species
GAUGAACGCUGGCGGCGUGCCUAAUACAUGCAAGUCGAGCGAACAGACGAGGAGCUUGCUCCUCUGACGUUAGCGGCGGACGGGUGAGUAACACGUGGAUAACCUACCUAUAAGACUGGGAUAACUUCGGGAAACCGGAGCUAAUACCGGAUAAUAUAUUGAACCGCAUGGUUCAAUAGUGAAAGACGGUUUUGCUGUCACUUAUAGAUGGAUCCGCGCCGCAUUAGCUAGUUGGUAAGGUAACGGCUUACCAAGGCAACGAUGCGUAGCCGACCUGAGAGGGUGAUCGGCCACACGGGAACUGAGACACGGUCCAGACUCCGACGGGAGGCAGCAGUAGGGAAUCUUCCGCAAGGGGCGAAAGCCUGACGGAGCAACGCCGCGUGAGUGAUGAAGGUCUUCGGAUCGUAAAACUCUGUUAUUAGGGAAGAACAAAUGUGUAAGUAACUAUGCACGUCUUGACGGUACCUAAUCAGAAAGCCACGGCUAACUACGUG